CGCUAGCUGACGAGUCCCAAAUAGGACGAAAUGUGCAUCUUCGAUGG
rfam:Trichobilharzia regenti genome assembly, scaffold: TRE_scaffold0002271